rnacentral:rRNA from 1 species
GAUCAUGGCUCAGAUUGAACGCUGGCGGCAGGCUUAACACAUGCAAGUCGAACGGUGACAGGGAUUAGCUUGCUAAUUUGCUGACGAGUGGCGGACGGGUGAGUAAUGCUUGGGAAUCUGGCUUAUGGAGGGGGAUAACUACGGGAAACUGUAGCUAAUACCGCGUAAAAUCUUCGGAUUAAAGGGUGGGACUUUCGGGCCACCUGCCAUAAGAUGAGCCCAAGUGGGAUUAGGUAGUUGGUUAGGUAAAGG